rnacentral:rRNA from 1 species
AUAAUGGGUCAGCGACUUAUAUUCUGUAGCAAGGUUAACCGAAUAGGGGAGCCGAAGGGAAACCGAGUCUUAACUGGGCGUUAAGUUGCAGGGUAUAGACCCGAAACCCGGUGAUCUAGCCAUGGGCAGGUUGAAGGUUGGGUAACACUAACUGGAGGACCGAACCGACUAAUGUUGAAAAAUUAGCGGAUGACUUGUGGCUGGGGGUGAAAGGCCAAUCAAACCGGGAGAUAGCUGGUUCUCCCCGAAAGCUAUUUAGGUAGCGCCUCGUGAAUUCAUCUCCGGGGGUAGAGCACUGUUUCGGCAAGGGGGUCAUCCCGACUUACCAACCCGAUGCAAACUGCGAAUACCGGAGAAUGUUAUCACGGGAGACACACGGCGGGUGCUAACGUCCGUCGUGAAGAGGGAAACAACCCAGACCGCCAGCUAAGGUCCCAAAGUCAUGGUUAAGUGGGAAACGAUGUGGGAAGGCCCAGACAGCCAGGAUGUUGGCUUAGAAGCAGCCAUCAUUUAAAGAAAGCGUAAUAGCUCACUGGUCGAGUCGGCCUGCGCGGAAGAUGUAACGGGGCUAAACCAUGCACCGAAGCUGCGGCAGCGACGCUUAUGCGUUGUUGGGUAGGGGAGCGUUCUGUAAGCCUGCGAAGGUGUGCUGUGAGGCAUGCUGGAGGUAUCAGAAGUGCGAAUGCUGACAUAAGUAACGAUAAAGCGGGUGAAAAGCCCGCUCGCCGGAAGACCAAGGGUUCCUGUCCAACGUUAAUCGGGGCAGGGUGAGUCGACCCCUAAGGCGAGGCCGAAAGGCGUAGUCGAUGGGAAACAGGUUAAUAUUCCUGUACUUGGUGUUACUGCGAAGGGGGGACGGAGAAGGCUAUGUUGGCCGGGCGACGGUUGUCCCGGUUUAAGCGUGUAGGCUGGUUUUCCAGGCAAAUCCGGAAAAUCAAGGCUGAGGCGUGAUGACGAGGCACUACGGUGCUGAAGCAACAAAUGCCCUGCUUCCAGGAAAAGCCUCUAAGCAUCAGGUAACAUCAAAUCGUACCCCAAACCGACACAGGUGGUCAGGUAGAGAAUACCAAGGCGCUUGAGAGAACUCGGGUGAAGGAACUAGGCAAAAUGGUGCCGUAACUUCGGGAGAAGGCACGCUGAUAUGUAGGUGAAGUCCCUUGCGGAUGGAGCUGAAAUCAGUCGAAGAUACCAGCUGGCUGCAACUGUUUAUUAAAAACACAGCACUGUGCAAACACGAAAGUGGACGUAUACGGUGUGACGCCUGCCCGGUGCCGGAAGGUUAAUUGAUGGGGUUAGCGCAAGCGAAGCUCUUGAUCGAAGCCCCGGUAAACGGCGGCCGUAACUAUAACGGUCCUAAGGUAGCGAAAUUCCUUGUCGGGUAAGUUCCGACCUGCACGAAUGGCGUAAUGAUGGCCAGGCUGUCUCCACCCGAGACUCAGUGAAAUUGAACUCGCUGUGAAGAUGCAGUGUACCCGCGGCAAGACGGAAAGACCCCGUGAACCUUUACUAUAGCUUGACACUGAACAUUGAGCCUUGAUGUGUAGGAUAGGUGGGAGGCUUUGAAGUGUGGACGCCAGUCUGCAUGGAGCCGACCUUGAAAUACCACCCUUUAAUGUUUGAUGUUCUAACGUGGACCCGUAAUCCGGGUUGCGGACAGUGUCUGGUGGGUAGUUUGACUGGGGCGGUCUCCUCCUAAAGAGUAACGGAGGAGCACGAAGGUUGGCUAAUCCUGGUCGGACAUCAGGAGGUUAGUGCAAUGGCAUAAGCCAGCUUGACUGCGAGCGUGACGGCGCGAGCAGGUGCGAAAGCAGGUCAUAGUGAUCCGGUGGUUCUGAAUGGAAGGGCCAUCGCUCAACGGAUAAAAGGUACUCCGGGGAUAACAGGCUGAUACCGCCCAAGAGUUCAUAUCGACGGCGGUGUUUGGCACCUCGAUGUCGGCUCAUCACAUCCUGGGGCUGAAGUAGGUCCCAAGGGUAUGGCUGUUCGCCAUUUAAAGUGGUACGCGAGCUGGGUUUAGAACGUCGUGAGACAGUUCGGUCCCUAUCUGCCGUGGGCGCUGGAGAACUGAGGGGGGCUGCUCCUAGUACGAGAGGACCGGAGUGGACGCAUCACUGGUGUUCGGGUUGUCAUGCCAAUGGCACUGCCCGGUAGCUAAAUGCGGAAGAGAUAAGUGCUGAAAGCAUCUAAGCACGAAACUUGCCCCGAGAUGAGUUCUCCCUGACUCCUUGAGAGUCCUGAAGGAACGUUGAAGACGACGACGUUGAUAGGCCGGGUGUGUAAGCGCAGCGAUGCGUUGAGCUAACCGGUACUAAUGAACCGUGAGGCUUAACCUU